AGCAUCUUAGCUCAGAGGAAGAGCGUGGGGCUCAUAAAGGAAAAACCUAGUGUCACCCCAAGGCCGUCGGAUCGAGACCGACAGAUGCUA